GACGAACCGAGCGAACGUUAUUCGGAAUCACUGGGCUUAAAGGGCGCGUAGGCGGGCCGUCAAGUCAGGGGUGAAAGCCCCCAGCUCAACUGGGGAAGUGCCUCUGAUACUGGCGGCCUCGAGGGAGGUAGGGGCGUGCGGAACUUCCGGUGGAGCGGUGAAAUGCGUAGAUAUCGGAAGGAACACCGGUGGCGAAAGCGGCGCGCUGGACCUCGUUCUGACGCUGAGGCGCGAAAGCCAGGGGAGCCGGAACGGGAUUAGAUGACC
rnacentral:rRNA from 1 species